rnacentral:ribozyme from 1 species
UCUUUUUCCCUUUUUUUUUUUUUCUUUCUCUUCCGUUUU